AUUACAGAGGGUGAUAAUGUGUUAGGCGAUCAUCUUAAGCCUGUAGAUGAUGGGAAACAUCAGAGACUUUUGGAUUUUCUCAGCCUUGAUAAGGAAGAGCCACUUAGCACCAGCAACGCAGCUGUGAGAUUCUAUUGGAAAAUUAUGACUCCAAGGGAAAAUUGGCCAAGCUUUGACUAUGGAUGGUUGACAGACCAUCACAUGGGUUGUGCAAUGGCUAUGUUCCGGCGAAGAUAUAUGCGUGAGCCUUGUCCGUAUCCUAAACAAUGGAUAGCUUUCUUAGACCAAGAUCUGAUCACUACAUUGAAGAAACUACAUGCAGUUUGAUAUGGGGC